rnacentral:rRNA from 1 species
UAGGGAAUCUUCCACAAUGGACGAAAGUCUGAUGGAGCAACGCCGCGUGAGUGAAGAAGGGUUUCGGCUUGUAAAACUCUGUUGUUAAAGAAGAACAUAUCUGAGAGUAACUGUUCAGGUAUUGACGGUAUUUAACCAGAAAGCCACGGCUAAAUACGUGCCAC